rnacentral:rRNA from 1 species
UGCAUAUUCCCAUUAGCGGAGGAAAAGAAACCAACAGGGAUUGCCCUAGUAACGGCGAGUGAAGCGGCAACAGCUCAAAUUUGAAAGCUGGCUCCGGCCCGCAUUGUAAUUUGCAGAGGAUGCUUCUGGUGAGGUGCCUUCCGAGUUCCCUGGAACGGGACGCCAUAGAGGGUGAGAGCCCCGUAUGGAUGGACACCAAACCUGUGUGAAGCUCCUUCAACGAGUCGAGUAGUUUGGGAAUGCUGCUCUAAAUGGGAGGUAAAUCUCUUCUAAAGCUAAAUACCGGCCAGAGACCGAUAGCGCACAAGUAGAGUGAUCGAAAGAUGAAAAGCACCUUGAAAAGGGGGUUAAACAGUACGUGAAAUUGUUGAAAGGGAAGCGCUUGUGACCAGACUUGCGCCGGGCAGCUCAUCAGGGGUUCUCCCCUGUGCACUCUGCCCGGCUCAGGCCAGCAUCGGUUCUCGUGGGAGGAUAAGAACGGUAGGAACGUGGCCCCCUUCCGGGGGGGUGUUAUAGCCUACCGUACGAUACUCCCGUGGGGACCGAGGUUCGCGCUCCGCAAGGAUGCUGGCGUAAUGGUCAUCAGCGACCCGUCUUGAAACACGGACCAAAA